CGGCGGACGGGUGAGUAACGCGUGGGUAACCUGCCUCAUACAGGGGGAUAACAGUUAGAAAUGGCUGCUAAUACCGCAUAAGACCACAGUACUGCAUGGUACAGUGGUAAAAACUCCGGUGGUAUGAGAUGGACCCGCGUCUGAUUAGGUAGUUGGUGAGGUAACGGCUCACCAAGCCGACGAUCAGUAGCCGACCUGGGAGGGUGACCGGCCACAUUGGGACUGAGACACGGCCCAG
rnacentral:rRNA from 1 species